rnacentral:tRNA from 1 species
GCCCGAGUAGCUCAACCGGCAGAGCACCGGUCUUGUAAACCGGCGGUCGUGGGUUCGAGUCCCACCUCGGGCUCCA